rnacentral:tRNA from 1 species
CAAUAGCUAAGUGGAUAACGUGAUGGCUUUUGAAGCUAAUGGUACUGAGUUCGAGCCCCGGAUUGAA